rfam:Butyrivibrio proteoclasticus B316 chromosome 1, complete sequence.
GUGUCCGUAGCUCAGCUGGAUAGAGCAACGGCCUUCUAAGCCGUGGGUCGGGGGUUCGAAUCCCUUCGGGCACA